rnacentral:rRNA from 1 species
UACAGAGGGUGCAAGCGUUGUCCGGAAUCACUGGGCGUAAAGGGCGCGUAGGCGGCCUGAUAAGUCGGGGGUGAAAUUCUGCGGCUUAACCGCAGGACGGCCUUCGAGACUGUCGGGCUUGAGCACGGUAGAGGCAGGUGGAAUUCCCGGUGUAGCGGUGGAAUGCGUAGAGAUCGGGAGGAAGGCCGGUGGCGAAGGCGGCGCUCUGGAACAUUUCUGACGCUGAGGCUCGAAAGCGUGGGGAGCAAACAGG